rnacentral:rRNA from 1 species
AUUGAACGCUGGCGGCAGGCCUAACACAUGCAAGUCGAGCGGAUGAAGGGAGCUUGCUCCUGGAUUCAGCGGCGGACGGGUGAGUAAUGCCUAGGAAUCUGCCUGGUAGUGGGGGAUAACGUCCGGAAACGGGCGCUAAUACCGCAUACGUCCUGAGGGAGAAAGUGGGGGAUCUUCGGACCUCACGCUAUCAGAUGAGCCUAGGUCGGAUUAGCUAGUUGGUGGGGUAAAGGCCUACCAAGGCGACGAUCCGUAACUGGUCUGAGAGGAUGAUCAGUCACCAUGGAACUGAGACACGGUCCAGGCUCCUACGGGAGGCAGCAGUGGGGAAUAUUGGACAAUGGGCGAAAGCCUGCUCCAGCCGUGCCGCGUGUGUGAAGAAGGUCUUCGGAUUGUAAAGCACUUUAAGUUGGGAGGAAGGGCAGUAAGUUAAUACCUUGCUGUUUUGACGUUACCAACAGAAUAAGCACCGGCUAACUUCGUG